UACGUAGGGGGCUAGCGUUGCUCGGAAUUACUGGGCGUAAAGCGCACGUAGGCGGACUCUUAAGUCGGGGGUGAAAUCCUGGAGCUCAACUCCAGAACUGCCUUCGAUACUGGGAGUCUUGAGUUCGGGAGAGGUGAGUGGAACUGCGAGUGUAGAGGUGAAAUUCGUAGAUAUUCGCAAGAACACCAGUGGCGAAGGCGGCUCACUGGCCCGAUACUGACGCUGAGGUGCGAAAGCGUGGGGAGCAAACAGG
rnacentral:rRNA from 1 species